rnacentral:lncRNA from 7 species
AUCAUGGUGACAGCCCUUCCCUGCCAGGUGUGCUGGCCCAGCCCUCUUUGGGCUCACACGCACUGCUCAGCAACAAUUGAAACAUCACCAAAGACAAUUCCUCUUCACUCAGUGUGACCCAGGCAAGUGUGGAAACUGUGAAUUCACCCUUUGUACAAUGCCAUUCUGUGAUUCUGUGACAUCAGUCCCCAAACUCACAUUUUCCUCAUUGGAACUGGAUAGAGUCCAACUACAGGACUGCUACAGGAUAAUCUACAGGAAAACAACAACACCAUAACAAAAAUAUGAAGCAGUGCUUCUUUGUCUGCAAUGGGACACUCCUAUCUUCACUUAUCACUGUCAGCAAAAUAAUUCUUGACUGCAUUUUAAUUUUUUGAGGGUCUUCAAGGCUUGUUACUAUUUCUGGACUAUGAAAAAUUAAUCUUGAUUUCCCCAGUAUCAGUAUUUGAGAAGCUCUUGUUGCAAUUCUCUUGUAUUAGCAGAACAUCAAUAUGUGACUAAUUAGAGAUGAAAUGCCCAAUGAGAAUUGAGUAAUGCAGUUUUCUAACUUUCUAAUUAAUGGCAAAACACACAAAAAUGUUAAUUAUGUUUGGGAGGAUCGUAAGUGCCAUUUUGUGAAGAGUUCUUUUAGCUGUAAUUGCAAGAAAUGAUGCAAAUAAUGGAAGAUAAGAUAUUUGAGAAGAAAAAAAGAAAGGUUUCUCAUGGCGUAUAUAAGACAGAUAUUUUAGGACAAGAAAAGGAAUUUGAAUAAGCAUUAUCCUUAUUUGCCUUUUUUUUGUAACAACAAAAAAUGUCUUAAACUUGCUUUUAGAAUGCUCGUACAGUGAAAAAACAUUUAAAAAUUCCUACUAUAUUAUUUGUGAUAACUUGUGAUAACUGUUAUCAGAGGUUUCGUAACUAAUGACUUGGUCUGUCUUUAAAUGUUAAAGUGGAUAGAUAUACCUAGGUUGGUGGAUACAGUUUAAAACCCUAGGGCUUGUCUAUGAUGGAAAGAAUUAGUGUCAGCAAUCUUUACAGCUGAACUGAUUCUGAAGUAUUUGGGUAAAAAUGAAUGAAGGAAGAACAUUGUUCAACCACAUUUCAAAAUGACCAUUGUAGUUUUUAACCAAGCCUGGGUAUGGCUUCAAUGCCUAUAACAGCUUCAAAACAAGACACCUAAAGGUUUUUAUAAGGCAAUAUUGCAUCUGCUUUGGGCCUUUUUUGUUUUGUUUUGUUUUGCUGAGUUCAUACAAAAGCAUUUCACAAAAAUCAGUACAAACAGCUGCCCAGCAGUACUUGUGCAAGGUAGGACAUUUCUGCUGAAGCACUUCAUUCCACUCCCAUAGAUGGGAUAGAAGUACUUCAAGGUUAUAAUGCUGAGUGGUGUCUAGGAAGCCGUCCACAUGCUGUAUACCUGCAUUCAUACGUGCUGUAAAACAACCACACGCUUUGGAAAAGACCAGAAAAUAAAUCUGAUUUCUAUAUUUCUAAAUUACUUAUGUGGUUCCUUUUGCAGGACCUAUAUAAAUGAGGAUGCAUAUAUUGUACUUCUAGUGAAUAUCUGUCAAGAGUCGUAAAUUCCUUUUUCCAUAUUAAGCAGAUUUCGCUGUUAACUUCGGUUCAUUAUUUGCAUUAAAUUUGAAGCAUUACCUUUGUAGCAUUUUACAGGUUUUGUUUCAGUCGUUGUACAGAUGCAUUUAUGAUCAGCCCUCAUUUUGUAUUAAAAAUGGAGAGAGAUC